rnacentral:rRNA from 1 species
CGGGUGAGUAAUACAUCGGAACGUGUCUUCUAGUGGGGGAUAACUGCCCGAAAGGGACGACUAAUACCGCAUGAGACCUGAGGGUGAAAGCGGGGGAGUCGCGAGACCUCGCGCUGGAAGAGCGGCCGAUGUCCGAUUAGCUAGUUGGUGAGGUAAAGGCUCACCAAGGCGACGAUCGGUAGCUGGUCUGAGAGGACGACCAGCCACACUGGGACUGAGACACGGCCCAG